UAUCAGUCAAGACAGAACGAAUGACGGUGCCGGCGUACUCGAUCACCAUCUCCCCAGCGUCAAUGUUCCUUUUGCAGAAAAGGCCCCGACCAUGGAUUUCAGAUCUAAGAGGAUUACAGAACAGGAAUCAGGUUAAAUACAUUUGAGCAUACAAAUUAUUUUGGACAUUAAUAAAAUCGCAUGCUUUUCUUGUUGUUUCGUUUGUUGCCAUUACCUGUAAACUCCUACUGCUUCUUUCGAGAUUUUUUCCAGGUGUCUGAAUCUCAUUGCCAUUGGGAGCUCACUGCUGGUGGCUCGUCUGUCAGAGUGAGACACAGAAAAGGUGGCAUCAACAUGAACAUGGCAUCUACUAAAUUACUUCCUUAUAACAGCUUUACAAUCCUGUUUUUGUGGUACGUAGCGGGAACAAAUUUUAGGAUUAAGAAAGUGGCACAAAUUGUAUCCCCUAACCUGGAAGAUUUUAGUGGGAAUUCAUCUUCCUCUUCGUCAAAAGGGCCUACUAUGUCAGGGAGCUCUCUGUGCUGUGAUGCCAGGAAGUUAAACAUAUCAAAAGUCGCUUUCCUAAUUAGAGAAACAGGAGAAAUGAAAAUACAAAUGUGAGUUGUAUUUAAAAUCACAGACAAGAAACAGAAACAACGAAACCAAGCAAUUCAAGAAACCUUAUUUACACUUAUGUCACGACAAAAAGUAACCGUCUGUACCGUGUGUAGACUUCCGAACGAGCGCAGCCACUCGGGUUGAGGGGAAGCUCUUCCUCGAUGUCGUCACAGCGGUGGAACCUGAAGCGGUGGCGUUUGCAGUUUGUGGCCCCCUGCAGUUGCUCCAGCAGGAAGAUGACGGCGUCGUGGACGACACCGAGCACCCGCGGCCCCGUCAUCACACCCAGAGGCAGCUGCUUCAUGUGGAAGCCCGAUCGAGCUUCCAGGACGCCGUCAAUCACCGCGCGCCAGGCAACUGACGAAAGGAAAGAGAUGAGGACUUUUCUGCAGGGCUGGUAGACAUCUUGAGAAUAAUACACUGCCUGAGAAGCUGAACUUGUAAAGAAAGACUUCGGUACACACCAGUAGAUGGCCUUGUUAAGAGAACCUACCAUGAAUGUUUAAGAUGACAGCACGUAAAUGGACAGAUUCAGACUUCAGCAGGCUGCUGUAGGAGCGUGGUGCGAUGUUACGCAGGGACAGUUUUCUGACUCCAGGCGCCAUGGAGGACGAUCCCUCCUCUGACCCUCCUGACAGCCGCCUUGCCUGGACUAAGAAAAAGGAGCCCCGUGAUUAAUUUUGUAAACAAACUAAAUAUUUGUGAUGUGUUGUUGAAUUUGUUAUUUCUGUUAACUUAAAGACAUGAUUACAGCAAAUCAAACAAGAAAUAUUCACUCAGGGAGACCAAUGAGAAUAAUCUAAAUAGAGACAUACCUUUUAAUGGUUUGACAAUGCGCUCAAUCUUUGCUUUCUCAAUCCUCUCACACUUCUUAUAUCUGGGGGCAGAAGAAAGAGUAAACUGUAAUUAUUUGGCCAAGUGCAGGUGUAGACAUCUAUGAAUGUGUUAGACUGUGAGAGCCAACUUGCCUUCAUUAACUGGAUUGUUUAAUAUGUUUUACUGGAAAGAAAUAAAAAGUUUUUUCAUGUUUCAUGUACAAAAAUGCUUAACUUAGAAGUUAAACAGUAUUUUUGACUUACUUCAACAUUUUAGAACUCAGCACCAAACUCAGUAUUGUCAGUAUAAAAUGUAAAUAUGUUGCUAUUUUCCCCAAACACAGUGACUGACUGAUUUUCACUGCCUAUCUUCAAAGCACUAGCAUGACAUUUUGGGAAAUACACUUAAUUGCUUUCUGGUCGAGAAUCUGAUGAGAAGAUCAAUACCGCCAUCUUGUCUGUAUUGUAAAUAUGAAGCUACAGCCAGCAGCUGGUUAGUUUAGCUUAGCACAAAGAGUGGAAACAGGGAAACCGCUAGCCUGGGUUUGUCCAAAGGUAACAAAAUCCACCUACCAGUACCUCUCAAGCGCACUGAUUAUAAUGUUAUAUUUAUGUUUGUUUGGUCUCUGCAAAAACCAAUAUGUAAAAAUUAACACAUUUAUUUCCAUUGGACAGAGUCAGGCUAGCAGUUUCUCUCCAUUUCCUGUCUUUGUGCAAAGCUAAUCUAGUAGGCUGCAAUCUGUAUUUUUCCUGUGCACCGCAAUCCAUAAAAUGUGAAACUAUUUCUUUUAACUACUG